rnacentral:rRNA from 1 species
GACGAACGCUGGCGGCGUGCUUAACACAUGCAAGUCGAACGAAGAGCGAUGGAAGCUUGCUUCUAUCAAUCUUAGUGGCGAACGGGUGAGUAACGCGUAAUCAACCUGCCCUUCAGAGGGGGACAACAGUUGGAAACGACUGCUAAUACCGCAUACGAUCUAAUCUCGGCAUCGAGGAUAGAUGAAAGGUGGCCUCUACAUGUAAGCUAUCACUGAAGGAGGGGAUUGCGUCUGAUUAGCUAGUUGGAGGGGUAACGGCCCACCAAGGCGAUGAUCAGUAGCCGGUCUGAGAGGAUGAACGGCCACAUUGGGACUGAGACACGGCCCAGACUCCUACGGGAGGCAGCAGUGGGGAAUCUUCCGCAAUGGACGAAAGUCUGACGGAGCAACGCCGCGUGAGUGAUGACGGCCUUCGGGUUGUAAAGCUCUGUUAAUCGGGACGAAAGGUCUUCUU